GGCUGGUCUGAAGGUAGUGAGUUAUCUCAAUUGAUUGUUCACAGUCAGUUACAGAUCAAACUCCUUGUUCUACUCUUCCUCCCCUUCUCACCACUGCACUUGACUAGUCUUAU
rnacentral:Y_RNA from 1 species